ACCAAUUGCUUGUCCCCAAGCAACAAAACACAAUGCAAUAACUAAAUAUGCAAUGCAAAUGCAAAUGCAGCUAUCUACAUGCCUAAAAUUCCAGCAGUUAAACAUAACAAAAUCUAUUCAUCAAGCCUCAGAGAAAUCACAAUAAACAAGCUAGAACAUCAUACCAAGACAGAUCAAUAAUUUCCUAGUCAAUUAUCAAAUCUUACCCUGUUAUUACUGAUAUAGUGCGUGUGUGCUCAACAACAAUGCUAACUAAUAUAAUGCUAAAUACAACACAUAAUAGAUCUCUUUAAAGGCAUCACACAGUGUAAACUCACAAAAUUCACGAACAAGCUAAAUCCAACUAAAGUCAAACAUCCACCAAAUUCAAGAGUCCAAUCCGGGAUACUUAUGCUUUACUUAUCAUUACGGGGGCUUUUUGCUCUUUUUCCUUUUUAUUUAACCAUGACUGUUCAAUGUCUCAUUCCAUUAGGCUAACAGUGCUACCCCUUAGCGAGCUUUCGACCAACGACUCCCAGACCAUAUAAGACCUUAGGGCGCUAGGUAUAAAGACACUCCCUCAGGCGUAUUUGCUCAAGUAACAAAGACCCCGAAACAAGACUAGCCACGGUAUCUUUUUCAUCAUUUCUUUUUUUUUUUUGAAGCUUAUAUAUCCCAAAUUUUCCCCCCAAACUUAAGUUUUUGUCUAAAUUCAGUCAUCUCCGACUAUUCAUGUCUUUCAUUCAUUCAAACUAGUAUUAUCCUCAAGAAGUCCAUUAUGUGUCAAUUUAGACUCAAUCAGUCAACAUAUUUGUUUUUACUAUGCUAUCCUUAUUAUAUCAGUUUCAAACAGGUAAAGAUUCAAAUCAUGACAAGAAAUCACAUCAAAGUCUUAACAGUCAAUACUAUACUUGUCUACUCAAUUCCAAUCUCAUCAUUGGCCAAAACAAACUUGAACUAUCUAACAGCUGGAAACAUGCAAAUACUUGAUUUUUUUUAUAUUUUUUUUAAGAAAUUAGAAUGAAAACUACAAAAUGAAUACUAAAUGAAUGCAACUGGAACUGGAAGAAUGCACCCCCAAAGUUAACAUAUGCAAUGUCCUCAUUGUAUAUAAAAAAAACAUAAGAAAUUAGGCACUGAGGACUUCCCUGAAAUAUCGAAGCCUUAUUCCUCGUUAGUAUCCUCUUCUUCUUCAUCAUCGACCUCAUCCUUAGGGGGUAAAUCAGCAGGGGGGUAUGCAGACAAGGGUAGAAAUUGGUAGGGAGUGCCAGCUGGAUUCAUGCGAUCGAACAUCUCUAGGAAUGUUGCACUACAGUUCUGACACAUCUCCGUUUGUCGCUGAUCCAAGCUAUCCUGAUUUCUUUCCACCCGAUCAAAACCUUGCAGAACUUGAGUAGCCACCAUGUCAAUCCUUCAAGUUUGAUUUUUUAAUUCUCGACGAAUAUCAUCAAAAAAAUUUGGUGGUGGCCCUAAACUUCCAACUGCAGUAGGAUUGUCAUGUGACUGUUGAAUAGGCUCGUUUGCAGGCUCGGGAGGCACAAUAAUGAAACCUAACCCUCUCGGGUGUGGUGUACCCCCACCCCAUACCUUGUAAUUUUUUAUAACUGAGUGGUCAAUUGGGGCUAAAAAGAGGUUCUGUAGCUUCCUAGGCAUCCCAUUUUACUCCAGCUUGUCGACAUAGUCCAGUAAUCAAAGAUAGAUGAGGAAGUCCACCUGAAGUCCCACCUUGAAUUGCUCUGUCGAUUGAAUCACGAAUAACCUGACCCACAUCUAUA
rnacentral:lncRNA from 1 species